rnacentral:rRNA from 1 species
CGUAAUAUAGGGCCGGGGGCCGCGGAUAUACGAGGGGGGCAAGGGGUAAUCGGAAGUACUGGUCGUAAAGCGGGCGCAGGCGGUUUGCUAAGACCGAUGUGAAAUCCCCGGGCUCAACCUGGGAACUGCAUUGGUGACUGGCAGGCUAGAGUAUGGCAGAGGGGGGUAGAAUUCCACGUGUAGCAGUGAAAUGCGUAGAGAUGUGGAGGAAUACCGAUGGCGAAGGCAGCCCCCUGGGCCAAUACUGACGCUCAUGCACGAAAGCGUGGGGAGCAAACAGGAUUAGAUACCCUAGUAGUC